AUCAAUACUCAUUUCGAUUUAUGGUGAUUAAACACGAUUUUAUAUCGCAAUUUAAUUUAUUAUAAGAGCUAAUUUUUAAGCUAUUUUUACUGCACAGUCGGUGUGUUUCUAUUGUUUCACUUCUCUUGCUUUUCGUAGCCCCUACGAAUGGGAUAGACCAAAAAUGUAUUUACCGUUAGUUUUAUUGGUGUUUUAAGAAAUAGCCUUGAUACAAACAGUGGUAAAUUUCAAACUUUAAUUUUUUUAUUUUUGGCAUAUGAAAUCGACCAGAGUGCCACGUUGCGAAAAGAAGAAACGACUGGAGCGCUGUUGUUAACUCGGCUAUAAUUGCGUGAGCGGUGUCUACGUCAAUAAAGAAGAAGAGGUUGCUCAAAAAAUUACACCAAAACCAACUGUGGUCGCUAAAAUGGCAUUAUAAGAGUUAUACAAGUAUGUAAAAUAUAAUUAUAAUAUUUGAUUGAUUUAUUAUUUGUGUGGCUUUUUUUACAUUUAAUAGUAUAUAGGAGAAAGAGUUUGCGUUAAGUGCACUAAAGCUAUCACUUUUGGAAUAAUCCAUUUGACUUGAAAGCUUUCCCAGUUACUACGUCUAUUUUUUUACACCAUUCCUUUUAAUUUUGUAGCCUUCUAAUAGAACUCUAUCUUUGUUGGUAUAUGUACAUAUAUCUCAUCAAUUCGCACAUUUUUUGUUUUCAAAAUUUUCAAAUGUGCACUUUUUAACAGUUUCAAGCAAGGGCUUUAGCAGUAACUGGACAGUAGUAAACGAUAUUGAUGAAAUCCAACAAAGUCUCAAUACAAGAAAAAUUUGCUUUAAUAUGUAUGUGGAACAUUCCGAAUUGUGUCGGUGCAAUUGAUGGAAAAUAUGCUACUAUUAAGAGCCCCGUCAAUUCCAAUUCUAUGUUGUACAAUUAUAAAAAAUUUUAAAAUACCGUUUUAAUGGCUAAAUGUGAUGCAAGAUACCAUAUGUUUUCACCGGAGUUAGUAUUGACAGCUAUGAAAGACGGAGGUAUAGUCUUUAAAUUUUUUUAAUACAGUUAUUUCUUUUUCCAAGCGGACGCUGACCUCUUAACAGCACAAAAAGUUUUAAUUCAGCCCUGCCUCUACAUUUUUUUCCGCUUCUACCUAUCAAUGGGGUCGUCUUACGAACGCUCUUAAAGAUUCUACUUCAAAAAUUCCGAUUUUGAAACGGUUAUCGGACACUAGGUGGUCAGUCUGAGCUGAUGCUAAGAAGGCACUUUUAUAACGUGUCAUCAAAAAGUGGAUCAAAAAGCGGAGUGCCUUAAUAAAGCUUACGGACUACUUUCAACGAUGAAUAAGUUAGAAACGAGAAUAAUGACAAUUACGUGGAACGGAAUCCUAGAACGCUUGCAAGCGACUAGUGUUUCGCUGCAGUCGUUUGAUCAAGACCUUAAUACAGGAUACGCCCUUUAUGAAUAAUUAUAUGGCUACGUCGAAGCAAUCCACUUUUUCAGGUAUUGAGGCAACGGGUACUGUCUUCUUUAACUAAACGUAUGAAAGCAUAUCAUAACUAGUGUUUUUCGACAUUUCGACCCCUAAAAUCGCUUACAACAGAAGAGAUUUUGGAAAAAUCCUGGUCACGAAGAUGAUUUGGAGAACAGCUUAGGCAGCGAAUUAUGUAGUGCAGAUCGCAGAGCUGCUGAAAACAGAAGUGGCUACUGUUAUUGACAGCAAGAAACAGGAGCCUCUGGAACAGCAAUAUUAUAAACUUUUAUUAAAUAAUUCUUUAGAAUCGUGUUUCCCAAACUUAGAAAUUGCUUUGCCAAUUUACUUACCUCUCGUGAUCACUAACUGCAGUGGCGAACGUUUUUGUUCAACGAUAAAACGUAUUAAAAAUGAAUUAAGGAACACGAUGGGCAAAGAACGUCUUAAUCACAUUACUUUGUUGAAUAUAGAGCAUGACUUGCUUAAAGAGGUCGAUAUUGAAAGUAUUAUAACUAAAUUUGCCCAUAAUAAAUCCAGAAAACUUUAA